AACGAACGCUGGCGGCAUGCCUAAUACAUGCAAGUCGAACGAGACCUUCGGGUGCUUUCGCCCAUGGGUGCGUCACGGGACGGAACCGUCACUCAUGUUCGGAAUAACUCUCCGAAAGGGGUGCCAAUACCGGACAAUGUCUUCUACCCAAAGAUAUAUUGCCUUUGGAUGGGCCCGCGUUGGAUUAGCUAGUUCGUAGGGUAAAAGCCUACCACGGUGACCAUCCAUAGCUGGUUUGAGAGGAUGAUCAGCCACACUGGGACUGAGACACGGCCGGGACUCCUACGGGAGGCAGCAAUGCGGAAUAUAGGACAAUGGGCGAAAGCCUGAUGCAGCAAGGCCGCGUGAGUGAUGAAGGCCUGAGGGAUGUAAAGCUCUUUUAACCGGGAAGAUAAUGACGGUACCGGGAGAGUAAGCGCCGGCUAACUACGUG
rnacentral:rRNA from 1 species